rnacentral:rRNA from 1 species
GACGAACGCUGGCGGCGUGCUUAACACAUGCAAGUCGAACGAAGUGGCGAACGGGUGAGUAACGCGUAAUCAACCUGCCCUUCAGAGGAGGACAACAGUUGGACACGACUGCUAAUACCGCAUCCUGAAGGCGGGUAUUGCGUCGGAGUAGCUAGUUGGAGGUGUAACGGCCCACCAAGGCGAUGAUCAGUAGCCGGUCUGAGAGGAUGAACGGCCACAUUGGGACUGAGACACGGCCCAGACUCCUACGGGAGGCAGCAGUGGGGAAUCUUCCGCAAUGGACGAAAGUCUGACGGAGCAACGCCGCGUGAGUGAUGACGGCCUUCGGGUUGUAAAGCUCUGUUAAUCGGGACGCGGUACCGGAAUAGAAAGCCACGGCUAACUACGUGCCAGCAGCCGCGGUAAUAC